AGUCGAGCGAGUCUGCCUUGAAGAUCGGAGUGCUUGCACUCUGUGAAACAAGAUACAGGCUAGCGGCGGACGGGUGAGUAACACGUGGGUAACCUGCCCAAGAGAUCGGGAUAACACCUGGAAACAGAUGCUAAUACCGGAUAACAACAGAUGAUGCCUAUCAACUGUUUAAAAGAUGGUUCUGCUAUCACUCUUGGAUGGACCUGCGGUGCAUUAGCUAGUUGGUAGGGUAACGGCCUACCAAGGCGAUGAUGCAUAGCCGAGUUGAGAGACUGAUCGGCCACAUUGGGACUGAGACACGGCCCAAACUCCUACGGGAGGCAGCAGUAGGGAAUCUUCCACAAUGGACGCAAGUCUGAUGGAGCAACGCCGCGUGAGUGAAGAAGGGUUUCGGCUCGUAAAGCUCUGUUGUUGGUGAAGAAGGACAGGGGUAGUAACUGACCUUUGUUUGACGGUAAUCAAUUAGAAAGUCACGGCUAACUACGUGCCAGCAGCCGCGGUAAUACGUAGGUGGCAAGCGUUGUCCGGAUUUAUUGGGCGUAAAGCGAGUGCAGGCGGCUCGAUAAGUCUGAUGUGAAAGCCUUCGGCUCAACCGGAGAAUUGCAUCAGAAACUGUCGAGCUUGAGUACAGAAGAGGAGAGUGGAACUCCAUGUGUAGCGGUGAAAUGCGUAGAUAUAUGGAAGAACACCGGUGGCGAAGGCGGCUCUCUGGUCUGUUACUGACGCUGAGGCUCGAAAGCAUGGGUAGCGAACAGGAUUAGAUACCCUGGUAGUCCAUGCCGUANACGAUGAGUGCUAAGUGUUGGGAGGUUUCCGCCUCUCAGUGCUGCAGCUAACGCAUUAAGCACUCCGCCUGGGGAGUACGACCCGCAGGGUUGAACUCAAAGGAAUUGACGGGGGCC
rnacentral:rRNA from 1 species